GUCGAACGAGAGAAUUGCUAGCUUGCUAAUAAUUCUCUAGUGGCGCACGGGUGAGUAACACGUGAGUAACCUGCCCCCGAGAGCGGGAUAGCCCUGGGAAACUGGGAUUAAUACCGCAUAGUAUCGAAAGAUUAAAGCAGCAAUGCGCUUGGGGAUGGGCUCGCGGCCUAUUAGUUAGUUGGUGAGGUAACGGCUCACCAAGGCGAUGACGGGUAGCCGGUCUGAGAGGAUGUCCGGCCACACUGGAACUGAGACACGGUCCAGACACCUACGGGUGGCAGCAGUCGAGAAUCAUUCACAAUGGGGGAAACCCUGAUGGUGCGACGCCGCGUGGGGGAAUGAAGGUCUUCGGAUUGUAAACCCCUGUCAUGUGGGAGCAAAUUAAAAAGAUAGUACCACAAGAGGAAGAGACGGCUAACUCUGUGCCAGCAGCCGCGGUAAUACAGAGGUCUCAAGCGUUGUUCGGAAUCACUGGGCGUAAAGCGUGCGUAGGCUGUUUCGUAAGUCGUGUGUGAAAGGCGCGGGCUCAACCCGCGGACGGCACAUGAUACUGCGAGACUAGAGUAAUGGAGGGGGAACCGGAAUUCUCGGUGUAGCAGUGAAAUGCGUAGAUAUCGAGAGGAACACUCGUGGCGAAGGCGGGUUCCUGGACAUUAACUGACGCUGAGGCACGAAGGCCAGGGGAGCGAAAGGGAUUAGAUACCCCUGUAGUCCUGGCAGUAAACGGUGCACGCUUGGUGUGCGGGGAAUCGACCCCCUGCGUGCCGGAGCUAACGCGUUAAGCGUGCCGCCUGGGGAGUACGGUCGCAAGAUUAAAACUCAAAGAAAUUGACGGGGACCCGCACAAGCGGUGGAGUAUGUGGCUUAAUUCGAUGCAACGCGAAGAACCUUACCUGGGCUUGACAUGUAAUGAACAACAUGUGAAAGCAUGCGACUCUUCGGAGGCGUUACACAGGUGCUGCAUGGCCGUCGUCAGCUCGUGUCGUGAGAUGUUUGGUUAAGUCCAGCAACGAGCGCAACCCCUGUUGCCAGUUACCAGCACGUGAAGGUGGGGACUCUGGCGAGACUGCCCAGAUCAACUGGGAGGAAGGUGGGGACGACGUCAGGUCAGUAUGGCCCUUAUGCCCAGGGCUGCACACGUACUACAAUGCCCAGUACAGAGGGGGCCGAAGCCGCGAGGCGGAGGAAAUCCUAAAAACUGGGCCCAGUUCGGACUGUAGGCUGCAACCCGCCUACACGAAGCCGGAAUCGCUAGUAAUGGCGCAUCAGCUACGGCGCCGUGAAUACGUUCCCGGGUCUUGUACACACCGCCCGUCACAUCAUGGAAGCCGGUCGCACCCGAAGUAUCUGAAGCCAACCGCAAGGAGGCAGGGUC
rnacentral:rRNA from 1 species